GAUGAACGCUGGCGGCGUGCCUAAUACAUGCAAGUCGAGCGAACAGACGAGGAGCUUGCUCCUCUGACGUUAGCGGCGGACGGGUGAGUAACACGUGGAUAACCUACCUAUAAGACUGGGAUAACUUCGGGAAACCGGAGCUAAUACCGGAUAACAUGUUGAACCGCAUGGUUCAACAGUGAAAGACGGUCUUGCUGUCACUUAUAGAUGGAUCCGCGCCGCAUUAGCUAGUUGGUAAGGUAACGGCUUACCAAGGCAACGAUGCGUAGCCGACCUGAGAGGGUGAUCGGCCACACUGGAACUGAGACACGGUCCAGACUCCUACGGGAGGCAGCAGUAGGGAAUCUUCCGCAAUGGGCGAAAGCCUGACGGAGCAACGCCGCGUGAGUGAUGAAGGUCUUCAGAUCGUAAAACUCUGUUAUUAGGGAAGAACAAAUGUGUAAGUAACUAUGCACGUCUUGACGGUACCUAAUCAGAAAGCCACGGCUAACUACGUG
rnacentral:rRNA from 1 species